rnacentral:tRNA from 1 species
GCUGGUUUGGCUCAGUGGAUAGAGCAUCGGCCUGGGGACCGAAGGGUCUCAAUUCAAUUUUGAACCCCAGUU